AUGACUCAUGUGCGUUUGAUGUGUCCCACUCUGGGAGAAAAGUACGGAGUAGCUAUUAUGCUUUCCUAGUAUCGACCGUACACCUUAUGUGUAACGGUCAUUAAGCACUCAAUAAAUCCAAAGAGAAUAAAAGUUACAGACGAACCUAAAGAUAAGAAUGAUAUGCAAGUGUGACUUGCAAAAGUACUAAUGAUAAAGAACUAUUUUGACUUUCCGAAAUGGAAUGAGGAAUAAGGAAAAAGUACUCCCAUACCGUUAACAGAUAACUUCAUUACAUAUGAAGUAAUCAGAUACAUGAAGUAGAUACUCAAAGUUUCCUCAAUUCACAAGAGUUGUGAAUGGUUUUUCGAAAUUGUGGCAGAAAAGUUCUUGCCACAUUUCGAGGGGGAGAAAGAAAUAUGAGAUAUCCAUUAAUGAAGAAUGUGAUCAUCUGGGGGAGUACGACGAUCAUAAUAAUACCCCUAAAGAAAAGAAAUAGAUGUAUUCCUGGAUCUUUUACAGUUCCGAAAGCAGACUAAGGAAUACUAAGACGGUGCUUAAAGUGCCAUAAAGAAAAUAAUACCCCUAAAGAAAAGAAAUAGAUGUAUUCCUGGAUCUUUUACAGUUCCGAAAGCAGACUAAGGAAUACUAAGACGGUGCUUAAAGUGCCAUAAAGAAGAAAGUUUUAACAGAAUAAACCCAAAUAAUAAAGUUUAAAGAUACGCCAUUUUUAGUAAAGAUGGAGUAAUCUGGGGGAGCAUGGUAUGAAAAUACCUAAGACUCGAAUAGAUUGUAUCUGGGGGAGCAUGUUGUAUGACUUAUACAACACCUGUUGUUAGCUCCAUAAAGGAGGAAUGAGUAAACAUGGAUCUUGUGAUACAGGUCCUGUAAUACCUAUUGCUUCUUGGAGAUGAAAGACUAUAGGAUCAAUUUGCCUGUUAGUGGCACAUCAUGAUCGACAUCAUGAUCUGAGUUACAUCAGAUGAAAGUAAAGAACACAAGGGAUACUUCUUCAAGAAGUCUUUUGUGGACUAGAGCAAGUCUCUAGACAGUGGCAUUUAAAGUUAGAAGAAUCAGAUGUUUUUUGGGUUAAAGAAAAUGAGAAGACAAUUGUAUUCAUGCAAAGUUAUAGAACGGGAAAUUUAUUUCCUAAUCCUGUGCAUGUGCAUGACGUCCUACUUGCUAAUGGUGAUGUCAAUCUACUGCAGCAGGAGAAAAGAAGUUCUUGUUCUCAAAGUUCAAAAGAAUGUUCUCAGUAGAGUGACUCUCGUUAUAAUUAUUGAGAUUCACCAAGAAAAAAAAGGAGGGGGGGGGUAUUAGGAGUGUCGCAUGAGCAUACUUUGAAAAGUCUCUAAAGUAUGCAUGUGAGAAAACCUACGCCUGUUCUUAUAGUAAAGGGUAAUGAUUUUGGGAACUUUAGUGUUCCAAGAGUCAAUGUGAAAUAGACCAAAUGAAUAUGGUACCAUAUGCUUCAGCUGUUGGAAGCUUUAUGAAUGCAAAAGUGUAACAUUACCGUGACAUAGUUCACAUAUCCGGGUUGUUUUGGCAAUGUCCAGUACAUAUUUAAAUUGAUGGAAUGGAGUCAAAGAUAUCGGCCUCAUGCUGAAAGAAACAAGUGCUCUCAAAAGGUUGUGAGUACAAAGAUAAAAACUUGUGAAAUGUACAGCGAAAUCCACAAUUGUCGUUGACCUUCACAUUAGGAGUUUUUGUGUGGAAGAACUCUAUAGAAUGAAUCAUUUAUCAUCAAUGUGAUGCAAAUAUAAAGUAUAGCAUGAUAUGAGGCUGAGGGACAGGCAAAAUCGUUAUGGAAACCUGUACCCGGAGUUGAUAAUGGUUGACAGCAGCGAUAACCAUUUAAGUAAUUCACUCCUAUGACAACGAGUCAAGUGUGGUGCCAAACACAUUGACACAAAGUUGUACGUUGUUAAGGAGAAAAGUCCGGAAUUAUGUUGAAAUGCUUGGAGCAUAAAAGCAACAAACAAGUUUUUGCAGAUCUGCUUAUUAAAGGCUUACCGCCCAGUGUGUUUGGAGAACACACAGUCGACAUGGGUUUUAUGGUAUAGUCUAAAAUUUCCGGACAAUAAAAGGGCCCAAGGUUAAAGAAUUUGUUUCAAAACUGAGAGGUACGUUGUGGCUGUCUGAUUCUAUCGGCAAUUGAGCUGUGACGAUGAAACAUGUUCUAUGUACUGAUCUUUUAUGAAACGAGUAAAGUAAAAGUAUAAGGUCAAAAGUAAAAGUUGAGAUCAAGGGGGAGAAUGUUAGGAUGAUCUCCACCGUGUGGGCCCAACGGCCCACCGGGCCCUUAGAUCCGCGCCCUGAUCGGGGGCGCUCAACCCACUAUGGUUGACGGCCCCCUGUCACCUGCACUAUAUAUAUAAAGAGGUGGGGUAGGCGGCUCGAAUUACGAGGUUCGUCACAACACCGUACACCCCACCUAAUCCCCUACCGAUUUAGGGUUAGUGCAGUGCUGAUGGGAAGCACCGCCACCGCUACUUUCUGCCAUCACCGGCCGUCACCAUGGACGGCACCGGGAGCUCCUCGCCACAAGGCUAAGGUACACACUGAAUAUAGAUUAUAUCCCACUGAUCUACUCCUAGUUGAUCCAGUAAGUUUAUCAUGACGUACUUAAGAUUCACGUAUUUAAAUAUGUGUGGUCUGGUUAUGUGUAUCAUAUGUCUUUUACCAUUUGAGUUUCACAUUUGAUUCCUUUCAUUUCCAGUGUGAUACAUAAAUGAUUGGGGCUUUCCAAUUUGGUGCUGAAAUUUAAGCAGCCACUUCAAUUUAGUGCUAUUCGGCACUGAGAUGCAAUGUAACCAAUUACAGAGCUUUAAUUCAUGAUAGACGAAAAUCGCAGAAUGGUGCAUGUUGUGAUUAAUCAAGUCAUUGGCUUCCCAACGAUGUAUUAUUGGGUCACUUGUGUAGUGUUUAACAUGCCCAUGGGAAUCAAUCAUGUGAUCCUGUGGCUUUCGUGUUGUUCACCUCACCACAUUUGAUGGAUGUCCAGGAGUGGUUCUGGCUAGAUGGGUAAUUUAUUCACCCAUUGUUCUUGUUCUUAUUUGUUUCUUAUGGUGUUGCUAAGUGUACUCAUAAUUAUUCACAAUUACAUGUAAACAUAUUUUGCCAUCCUUUAAGUUUAUCAUUUUUCCCACUGAAAACUGUAGGGCAAUUAUAACGCUGUCUUUUGUAUUAGUUAUGCGCUUAUCCUGCUAUGUAGGUAUAGGAGUUACAUAUUUCGAAUUCGCGCGUGUUAGUUACACAGGUAAGUUUUGCCUUACAAGUAACAUGCUUUCUAGAAUCUUGCUUCCUUUUUAUCAGUUAUUUUGCACUCCGUCUCACUAGAAUCUUCCUUCCUUUUUGUAAUGACUACGUAUUUUGCACUCCGUCUCACACCUUCUUUUCUUUCAUUGGAUCUUACUCUCAAGUUGUCCAAGGUAAUGAUUUUCAGUAUCUCACUGCCCUUAGGAGGGGCUCAUCACAUUUGCUCCUGAUUCCAUGUUGCCAUUUCUAUACAUUAUUUUUGGUUAAUCAAUUUUUGUUCUUCUGACAAGUGCCACUAUUGGCAACUAUCUUCAGUGCUUCUCAAAUGAUGAUAAUUAAAUAAACCUCCCUUGCAAAGAUGGAAAAGACCAUUUAAUUGUUAAUUAGAAGUUGGGAGAAUAUUGUAACCAUUCGCUGGCAGGUUGAUCAAAGAGUUGUCAUCAUGAUUAUUCGCUUAUUUUAAUAUCAAACAUUUUGAGAGGUAUAUCAAUCAUGGUAAGUUUCUUAGCCUCUUCACAUUGCACGCAUAAUAUCUUUUGCUUUCCUAGGAAUAUGAUAAAUCCAUGACUAGGAUAAACACUGAUAUGUUGAGAUCCCUACUUUUACUAAUAUCCUACUUCUACUGAUGCCACUUUCAACUGAUAUUUAUUCAUGGCUUAAGAUGAACGAUACAUUAUGCAUUGCAUAUGAACCAUAAUUUUGCUGCAGCUUUAGUUGAUAAUCGACAAUAAAAUAUUUCUAUAGUAAUUUGUUGAAUUCUGGAGUAAGCAUGAAAUGCAUUUGCAUGACCUGAGAUUCGCCAAUGUGCUCCUAUUUUUCAAAUAGGAAGGAAUGAAAAGGUGGUUCAGAAUUGAUGGAUAUUCUCCCCCAUGCUUGUUUACAUGUGGCCAUGUUUGUUGCUUAUAUCUCCAUACUUAUGUGUAUUAAUCAGACAUUUGCUCUUUUCUGUUUGUAGACAACUGGAGUGUGUCCUUUGCAUUCACUGCACAUCAGUGCAGUCCAAAUAUUAUAUGCAAUCAAGAAAAAUGGAAAAUAUUAAAUAUUACGAGUCAGAUAUCAGAUGCUGGUGUCAGGCAGUGGGCAAAUGGAGAAUGGAGACGAUGACGCUGCGGUCCAUGGAGCUGUUCGUGACGCACGAUCACGCGGCGAAGGAGCAAGCGGAUUCUCAGCUGACAUGGUUGCAGCUGGAGGAACACCCCGCGUGGUUGAGCAGGGGCACACUUUUGAGAGGUUCGUGUACUUUGUGAGCACAUUGGACAUGCUGGAGAUGGUGAAUAUAUUCUAUGCUAAAAUGUUUCAUCUAGAUGGGGCUAACAAACGUCAAACCUAACUCAUGCCCACAUAUAUAUCUCAUGUAGUGAACUCUAGAUGGAGCCUUGGUAAUACUUUUGUGUGUGAUAUCCCACGUACUGAAUUUCAAGCCUUCGAAUGCUCUUGUGUCACAUAUAGCUUCUCUUUGUUAGCUUCAUUUCCUUUUGGAUUUGGAUUGUCUAACUGAAUUAUGCUCUGUGUGACUCUAAUCACAUAUACUACUUCCUAUAGUGAAUCUGAUUCUCUGUUGUAUACUAACUGUAUUGGUGCCCAGAGGGCCUGAUAUUUGUUCGUCGUCCGAACAAUCUCACCUACUGACAUAUGGAUUUUCUGACAUUGAUCUUGCCUCUAACUCAAGGCAAUGUUCAUCUUCACAAGUAACAGGCAUAGUAGCGCAGAGGGCUGUGCGAGGAGGCGUGGAAAGGCAUGUUCAACGAGUAAUGAACUCUGUCCGACUAAGACAUGUGCUGGUAUGUAAAAUGGACGCACGUGACGAGUCGGGGCACUCAAACAAGACAAGUGCGCACAGGAACGCUUCAGGAGGUGCGCCUGGGGCGCACCCCAACCACUAGUAGAUGACAAGCAACAAUUGGAUCAUCAAUGAAGGUGUGGCGGCAUGUCGCGUACUACACAUAUCUUGUACUUGUCCUCAAUAGGAUGAUGGUGUCAUAUUUCAUAAGCAAAUAGUAGGUAGGAGAUCAUAUAUGCAAUUAUUUAUAUGUGCAAAAUAUAUUAGCAUGAGUAGUAGAUACACUUGUACAGAUAUUGCCUUUUCCAUUUAUACCUUUUAUAGUUGUAUAUGGGGCAUGAGUUGGCAAACAGUACAUCCUUUUCGUAUGCAUUUUAUUCAUCCCAUCAGUGUUUCUAAAACUACUUUGCUACGUUUUUAUUUAACUACUACUCCCUCCGUCCGAAAAAGCUUAUCCCUCAAAUGGAUGUAUCUAGCACUGGUGCUAGAUACAUCCAUUUGAGGAACAAGUAUGGGACAAGCUUUUUCAGACGGAGGGAGUACUAUAAAAUACUACUCCCUCCGUUUCUACAUAUAAGUUUUUUUUUUAAGAUUUCAAUACGAAUUACAUAGGUAUGUAUAUAAACGUAUUUUACAAUAUAGAUUCACUCACUUUUAAACGGACCGAGUACUAAAGUACUGACUUCGGUGGGUGAUCUAUCCUCUGGAUCCAUCCAGAGCUUAUCUCUUCACAUGGAUACACGGUAGCUGACCACAUCCACUUCCAACCUUAUCUCUUCGAGGCAGCUAGUGCUGUAGUCCUUGUUCGUCAAAACUGAGACAAAUGGAGGAAGGCAGGAAGGGUAGGUGAGGUGCUGGUGCUGGCCGCAUGGCUGGUACUGGCCGUUGGGCGACGUAGUGUGGCGGGGCUGGAGGGAGCAGCUGCUGGGUGGUGCUCGGCCUCGACGGCCUGGCCUCGGCCGUUCUUGCCGUCGGCCUCGUCCUCGGCGCCGAUUCUUCCCCAUCCAUGGCGCCAAGCCAAGCGUGUGUUCCUGCUCCUCUUUAUUCCUGUGGCGUCGAUUUCCGCGCCAGCGCUUUGGUCAAAGCCGAGACAAAUGAAGAUGGAGGUGUAGGGGAGGUGCUGGCCAGAUGGCUCGUAAGCAGCUGAAUCUGACCGCGUCAGUCGGCGGUCGAGCAGACAGCAGCAACUGCGCUGCUCCUGCUCGUUGGAGUGGCGCCCGUGGCAACACCACCGCCGCGGCUGCACCCCUGCCGGCCUCGGGAACCUCCAUGGCUGACCUCACACAGCGCCGCCCCGUUCUGGCCUCAAACGCGCAGUCCCGCGCCAUUCCUCUCCACCUUGCACCGCCGUGGCCUUCACUUGCCUCCUGCCUGUACUCCCAGCCACGGCGACCUCCUCCUCCGUGGUUGAGAACCCCAUCGCCUCGGCUGACCUCUCGUGGGUGCUGCCAUGUUCGAGUAGUACAAGCUCCACUCCGCUCUCCUCGAACGACGCUACCGCCACAACCUCUGCUCCGGCGAGCCCUACGUCCCCUCCUGCAGCUUUCGAAUCACCAUGGCCACGGCCUCGGCGCUGCUCUUCCUCCAUCCAUGGCAAGCGCAGCCAAGCCUGUACCUGCUCCUCGUCUUCACUUCCCUGGCACCUCCAGCAGGCACAUCCCACGAUCUGGCAGACGCCGGAGCUGCGAGGUGGGAGGAGGGGAGGGGGAGGGCUGGCGCGGCGAAGGAGGUCCUGGGCGAGGGAGGCGCGGACGGCGGCGAAGAGAAGGGCCGCCGGGAGUGGUCGCGAGUCGACCACCUCGCAGUCGCCGGGGAUCUGGAGGCCGGCCGGCGGAGAUCACCAUAUCUGUUUUCUAUUUCCAUCAGGCGGCGGAUGCGGUGGGUUGGGGGCGACGGGGGUGUUGCGUCCGUCCGGGUCCUAUGAACGAGCGAUUCGUUUUUUUACUGUACGAAUAUCUUAAAUCGGGAGUGCGGGUUAAUUGCACGAAAUAGCACGGGCUUUUCCGCAAAAAGCACGACGACGGUGAGAGAGCCGGAGUAUAUAUAAAUUAGGGAUUAGGGAUAGGGAUUAGGGAUUAGGGAUUAGGGAAAGAUAGCGGUCACUUUUAUCCACUAACCAGGAGUAUGAAAUUACCCAAAAUAGGGACAUGUAGUUUUGAUCUCUGUCACAACCUUUUUUUACUCCCUACUAUUUUUUCCUAAUAUACAUAUGAGAAACAAUUUAUUUUUUUAGUUUUGAUCUCUUUCACAGCCUUUUUCUUAACUCCUACUAAUUUGUUCCCGAUAUAUAUAUACCAUGAGAAAAAAUUUAUUUAUUUAUGGCGGUCACUUUUAUCCUCCAACCAGGAGUGUUAAAAUGCCCAAAAAUAGGAACAUGUAUUUUUUUAUCUAUGUCGCAGCCUUUUUUUUAACUCCUACUAUUUUUCCUGAUAUACAUACGAGAAACAAUUUAUUUAUUUAUUUAUUUAUAGCAGUCACUUUUAUCCUCCAACUAGGAGUAUGAAAAUGCCCAAAAUAGGGACAUGUAGUUUUGAUCACUGUCACAAUCUUUUUUUACCCCCUACUAAUUUUUUCCUGAUAUAUAUACAAGAAAUAAUUUAUUAUUUAGUUUUGAUCUCUUUUGCAGCCUUUUUUUUAACUCCUACUAAUUUUUUCCAGAUAUAUACGUAUAUACCAUGAGAAACAGUUUAUUUAUUUAUGGCGGUCAUUUUUAUCCUCCAACCAGGAGUGUUAAAAUGCCCAAAAAUAGGAACAUGUAUUUUUUAUAUAUGCCAUAGUUUUUUAACUCCUACUAUUUUUUCCUGAUAUAUAUACAAGUUAUUUAUUUA